GGGGUUCUAGGAUCAGUCCGUCAGUGGGGGUUCUAGGAUCAGUCCGUCAGUGGGGGUCUAGGAUCAGUCCGUCAGUGGGGGGUCUAGGAUCAGUCCGUCAGUGGGCGGUCUAGGAUCAGUCCGUCAGUGGGGGUCUAGGAUCAGUCCGUCAGUGGGGGUCUAGGAUCAGUCCGUCAGUGGGGGUCUAGGAUCAGUCCGUCAGUGGGGGCGGGGUCAGUCCAUAUAAUGUCCAUAUAAUCUUAUUCAUUAUGACCUAAAAGGGCCAACUGAUCCUAGAUCAUCACUCCUACUCUGGGACACUUUAUGGAUACGGGCCCUGAAUGAUAAUGACAACCUCCUUAUGAUCCUAACCCUGUCACUAUGACAACCUGUUGGUUCUGCUACCAUAUGACCAGGAAGUGAACAGACGGCUGCAUUAUGGCUCCGUCUUCACCACCCUAUCUCUAUAUAGUGCACUACCCAUAAGACUAGUCAGAAGUACUGCUCUAUAUCGGGGAUAGUGCCGUUUGGGAAUCACAUUUAUGGGUUCCAUGUGGUGUUGCAUGAAGGAUCUGGAUUUAGACCCCUGCCGGGCCAGGGUUAAGCCCUGUGUCUAACCCAGGCCAGGUUAAACCCUGGCCAGGCCAGGUUAGACCCCGGCCAGGCCAGGUUAGACCCCGGCCAGGUUAGACCCUGGCCAGGUUAAAGCCAGGCCAGGUUAGACUCAGGCCAGGUUAGACCCCUGCCAGGUAAAGCCAGGCCAGGUUAGAACCCUGCCAGGUUAGACCCCGGCCAGGUUAAAGCCAGGCCAGGUUAGACGCCGGCCAGGCUGCUGCCUCUGUCCUGUGUUUUGGCCUAGAACUUCUACCACCAAGAGACAUCUUCAUAUCUGGAACACCAGUGCAAUAACUAUAGAGUGGGAAAACUGAAGAAGUGUAAUAUUCUAAACUUGUAUAUUAUUAUUUCUAAAAUAUUGUAGACUGAAUAUUCACAGUUAAAACGAAGACUUGUUCCCUUUUAAAAAUGUGUUAAUCUUUUUAUUUUCUUGAGCUUGGUUCUUUCUGUACAUUCUGAUAUAGCGCUCUUUCUUGUUGAGCGGUGGGCCUGUAGGAUGCUGUAGGUUGGCUGUUCACACAGAGGGAGGGAGUGUUCCAUGCCAUGAUGACAUCACAUUCUAUAGGUUCCAUGUGUUCUCACGGUUGCCGUCAUUACCUCCUCCCUGUACAAAUAAAGUUUUGGGUGGUUGAAGCUCUGUUAUUGUU